CCCUUAGACGUUCUGGGCCGCACGCGCGCUACACUGACGAAGGCAACGAGCUUUCCUUUACCGAAAGGUACGGGUAAUCUUUUGAAACUUCGUCGUGCUGGGGAUAGAUCCUUGCAAUUUUUGAUCUUAAACGAGGAAUGCCUAGUAAGCGCAAGUCAUCAACUUGCGUUGAUUACGUCCCUGCCCUUUGUACACACCGCCCGUCGCUACUACCGAUUGAAUGGUUUAGUGAGGCCUUCGGAUCCGCGACUCGUUUGUGGAGAAGUUGGACAAGCUCAGUCAUUUAGAGGAAGUAAAAGUCGUAACA
rnacentral:rRNA from 1 species